UCUUGUUUUAUCCCUCCUAUAGCGCCUUUGUGGGUGCACAAAAUGCAACCAGGUUCAAUGAACCUGGUUGUUCUAUGUUCUGUUUUUUUAUUAUCUCCAUCAUCAUUCUUCAUCACUCACAAAAUGGGCUGAGAAAGAGAGAUAUCAAAUCUAUAUGCUUCAAUGGCUUCACGGGUGACUCACCACUUCAUCAUCAUCAUUAAAAUCAUGGAUUAAACUCAAAGAACGGCUUAAAAUCGGAGUCAGACAUCAUCUCAUCAGCACAAAUAAGCUCGAGAUGAUUGAUAGAUAUGAAUAUGCAAGAAAAUUAAUGAGGCAUGUGUUCAUGGCUUUGAAGCAUGAAAACAAAAAAAGAGUUCCCCUUUCAAAAACUUCAAUCUCUAUUGUAAGAGAGAAAAAACAAUAUUUAUAUGUAAUUGUUGUCUUGUACUUUAUUUUCAUUUUUCUAUCUUGCAUGGACAAGUUAAUAUUAUAAUUGCUUAUUCGUAAGCUGGCCUUGUUGACGCAUA